CCUACGGGAGGCAGCAGUGAGGAAUAUUGGUCAAUGGACGAGAGUCUGAACCAGCCAAGUAGCGUGAAGGAUGAAUGCCCUAUGGGUUGUAAACUUCUUUUAUAUGGGAAUAAAAUGAGCCACGUGUGGGAGUUUGUAUGUACUAUAUGAAUAAGCAUCGGCUAACUCCGUGCCAGCAGCCGCGGUAAUACGGAGGAUCCGAGCGUUAUCCGGAUUUAGUGGGUGUAAAGGGUGCGUAGGUGGAUUGUUAAGUCAGUUGUGAAAGUUUGCGGCUCAACCGUAAAAUGGCAGUUGAAACGUGCAGGCUUGAGGACAGUAGAGGUAGGCGGAAUUCGUGGUGUAGCGGUGAAAUGCUUAGAUAUCACGAAGAACUCCGGUUGCGAAGGCAGCUUACUGGACUGCGACUGA
rnacentral:rRNA from 1 species